rnacentral:lncRNA from 1 species
GGCUCGUGUCAGUGGAAGCUGGGGUGUCGGCGGGCGGCCGCGGCCGGGUCUAGCGGUGCCUGCGGAAGAAGGAGGAGGAGGGCUGGCGAUGAGAAGCAGCAGGGGGAAUCAAGGGCAAGAAGGGACCCAGAGGGGCAGGUGGCUGAGAUGCUGGCGUCCAGGUGACCCGAGGAAUCCUCUGGAGAUACAGGCCCGCGCAUGCGCGUGCUCGAGCGCUGAAGCCCAUUGCCCGCAGGGCGCUGGACUGGCGCCCCGGCCGGCGAGGCUGUCUAGUCCAGGCUCCAGGCCCCGGCUCUGGCCAGGCGCCGCCGCCUCCCGGUGCAGCUGAAAGUCGACGAAGAGGGCGGGGCGGGGGCGGCUUGUGGACUUCCACACUUUUCCUCUCUUCGGGCCAGUCUGGGGAGAGGGUGGCUAGCUGUGGCGGCGGCCAAUUACGUGGCGGACCUGCGGGGCUAAGCUGGCACGUCACUUCCGACUAGUGGAGUUUUUAGCCUUUUAACAUUCAAGGAUUAGGUAAAAGUCUUGCAGUGAAAAACCCGAGGACCCUUACCGCAAGUGUCUUUUGCUCCCAGCUACUGAUACUGGAUUCCACUCGUGAUUCUCCCUUUCUUAGCGCAUUCAUGAUAUAGACAUCAGUCUCUGAGCUGGAGGAGGACAAAGGCAGCGGUCCUGUGAAUUCUAUGCUCUAGCUUGGGUUAAGGGAUUUGGAAUUGCACUUGUUUCAGAGAGCUCCCUCUUUGCCCACUAGCAGGGCAUUAGCUGGUGCUGAAGACAGUGGCUGCUUGGCGAGCCUGGAUCUCCAAGUGACCCCCUCAGCAACUCCUGAUGAACAGGACUGAAGCCAAUAUUAAAGCAAGUCAACCAAAGGUUCUCUGGUGUAGACAAGACAGCAAAAGGACAGACUACCUUGUGGAACCUAGCAUUGUUCUCCUUCUGCAGCACUAAGUAACAUUUGUUCUCCGUUAAGAUCUUUGCAAACCACACACAAGAAUUGCUGGUCAUCCUGCCAAUAGAUGCUGCUCACAGAACCAAAUUUCCUGUGCUGAAUUGUCACUCAUGGGCUUGAGAGUAGGAGACUGGAGACCAAGGUGGCUAGAAUCCAGUUGGGCCUGAUGUCUCCCUGUUGAAAGGGCUCCUUGUGGAAUGAAUAGCACAUGGCUCCUGUGGUGGAUCUGAUAGUGGCAUAGCACCAAGUGAUGCAGGCCUGCCAGGGGCCACAGACACAGAAGAUGCUCCCGGGGUCCCCCAUGUACUCCAGACACACUGCAGGCCACCUCUCCCAGCAGGUUGCCAGUCAUGGGCCCCAUCAUCAUGACUUCUGUCCAAGGUACUGUGUGCAGAAAUGUGAUUGAGAUUCAAGUCAGGGCCUCUCUGCCCUUUUCCCUCCAGAAACAAAACCAAGAUAAUUUAUCCUGAACACGGUGAAAAAAGGAAGGGAGGGAGGAGAAAAAGUCCGGGUCUCACCUGGGAUUCUCUGUCUCCUGCAACAUGAAGGAUUUAGCCUGGGAGGAGGUGGUGAGAACUCUGGGAGAGAAAAAAGAAGGAAAGAAUAGUUUUACCCAUGCUGAAGUUAAUUUAAACCUUCACCUAGAGAAGCAAAAAAAAAAAACCCACACUUUCCCAUUUUGUGCCUCCCUUCCUAGAGUUUUAGCCAAAGGUUUAGCUAAGUAAUUGGUUUUACCAGCGCACUCACUCCUCCUAUCCCAAGUCUGUUUGACUCCCUCCCCAUCAUCCUCCUCACCUCUUUUCAGGCAGGGUGGGGAUAGCAGCAGGAGGAGAUUUUGGGAGCCUGGCAACUCCUGCAAGGACCGCAGGACAGCCCCUCUGUGGGGAUGCGUGGUGCCCCAUCUGCCGCCCUUCUGAAGAAUGCACUGCCUUCACUUUUUACUGUGUUAGAGUCCAUCCAGACUGUUCUAUCCAAAAAAGUUUCUUUUUCCCCCACAGGCAAUCAGGAAAUGAUUCCUUUCCCGACUGCUUCUGUCUAGUGCCUGGGAAUCUUGAGUCAAUCCCUCAGUAAGUCAGUGACUAGGGAAAUCCCUCUCUGAGCCUCCCAGUUCAUGUUGCUUAGGGAACCUGAUAUUUUCGUGAAACCUGCCUACACAUGGGCAGCCCAACAGCAGAACAAAUGGUGGUGACCAAAGUGAACAAAGAAGUAUAGUUGUGCCAGCUUCGUAGUUGCCCAUGUGGACAAGUCAGCAGGAUCAGGACACGAGGAAGAGUAAAUGUGAGACAGUCAAUGUGACUUCUGCGAUAAACAGAUUUUUAAACCCCGAAAUUUUGCAAAAUUUUGGUGAAACCUGAACUUUCUUCGUUGCAUAUACUGGCACUAUCUGUACCAUCAUACAACUGUCUCACAUUAAAGCUAUUUUUCUUGGGCACUGAUGAGUAAGGUUGGUAUAAGUUCCUCAGAUCAACAAAAACCCAUUUUCCUGUAAGUCUUACAUUUAGUAUUUAAGGAACUAAAACUUAAAUACAUUUUGUGAAAUGGUUGACACUUCACUGAUAAUGAUUUAUUGCUUGGAUUAAUAAAUUUUCCAAAAGUUGUCUUAUGU